AUGGCAUUCAAGCAGGUUUUCUGCGCCCUGCGAGAGGUCUUCCCGCAGGUUGAUCUUCGAAUAUUGAAGGCUGUAGCCAGUCAGUAUUCCUCUGAUGUCGAUGCAGCUGUUGGAUUUGUUCUUUCUGAUGUCAUUCCAGCAGUAAGCGAACCUACUGAAACAGUUUUUACACUCCAAGAUAUUGAUUAUGCAGAACACGACCAUACUGAUUCCAGGAAGUCUAACUUGCACUUUGGAGGGAUAUCAUUGGUGGAUCUAGUAGGAGCUAAAGAGGAUGCCAGUGCCCUAUUCGGUACGUCAGCUGAGAGCAGUGGCACUGUUGGUGAAUGUGAUCCAUUUUCAGAUUAUGAUGGACCAUUCCAGAGUAACAACAAAGUAGAAAAAUGUUCCCAGAUCGAGGAUAAGGUGGUGAUAAAUGAAACAAGAAUUCCUACAACAGUAAUGAACAGCCUUCUCCAGGAGCAUUAUGCUCUGCUUGGAUCGUCAUCGACAUCUGCAACGGAGCCACAUAUGAUAGAGUAUGAGCAGUCUGAUUCAGGAGGAUGUAAUGAUCAUUGUGCAGCUGAAAAAGAUGAAGUGACUCCAGAGACUGAAAUAGGCAACCACAAGCAUUAUAAUGAUAAUUAUGAGCUAUCAGAUUUGCUUGCCUCUUCUGGGAAUAUGUUGCCAUUAUUUAUGGAGAGCCCUUCAGAUUGUGCAGUGAAACAUGGAGGGCAAGUGCCUCUGAAACUUUCUCAUGAGGCAAGUAAACAUGAUUUCGCCAAGUCAGGAGAUAACUGUUACUUGGAAACCUUACUUGCGAAUUUUCACUCAAAGGAAGACAAACAGACAUCAAAGAACUUGCCAAAUGCUCCAACUGUUCAUACGCUCUCCAACCCAAAGGAUAAGAAUGACUUACAAGUUCUGUUUGAAAACAAAGAUAAUGCUGGAGAAGAGUUGGGUGCACUCUGUACUGCAGAAAAUACCCCUGAACUCCACAAGUCAGCAAAUGAUGGCAACUUCUACAAUUUAUUUGGCGAUCUAUGCACAGUUGACGAGACAACAAAAGUACCUUUGAAUUUUACUGAGGAGAAAAAUGAGCAGCCUUUUGUUAAGCUAGACGAUCAACACAAACUAUUUGAGUUAUUUGCCUCAUCCAAAAUCGUCGAUAAUUCAUUACAAGCCUUUCAAGAAAAGGGUGGUUCCGAGACAGUUCAUAAUGAGGAGCUACCUUCAAUACAUCUCAAUUUCAAUCAUCGUGGAACAUUUACUAAUAAAAGUGAGGGAUUUCUCGAUAACUCCACUCAGUCAUUUCAUAUCACUGAAAUAAACAAGAAUAUUUCUGAUAUCACUAAAAGCAAGGAAUUAUUGAGCUGUUUGUAUGAAUCAACAAUCAUGAAGAUGGAAGAGGUUGAGCUUCAGGAGGAAAAGUCUCGACUAGCAAAACAAAAUGCUGACAAGGCACAUCAAAAUUUUCUUGCCAUGGCAGAGCACUUUAAUCAGCUCAUUGAGAAUUCCAAAGAGUCAAAUGAUAAGCAAGCUCAAGUAGUGUGCGAAGAAAAUUGUUCGUUGGUGGCUCUAACUCAGGACCUUCAGUCUAAGCUUACCAAAUUGGCUGCUCAAAGAAAUGAAGCGCUUACAGCUGUUCAGGAGAUUAAAUUUCAAUUAGAUGCACGUCUAGCAACUUCGAUGGAGGAAGAGGCUACAGCAAUGGAGCAAAUUAUCCAAGAAGAUAAAUUAGCUCUAUUGGUACGUAAAGAGAAGGAAGCUACAAUGGGGAGCAUAAUGGAGGAGUCAAGAAAGCUCCAAAAGGAAGCCGAAGAGAACAUUUUGCUGAGAGAACAAUUGUUGGACCGGGGUCACAUCAUUGAUAUCAUGCAAGGAGAAAUAUCAAGCAUCCACGCCCGUGUAAGCAAGCUUAAAUCAGCCUUGGUGACAACUAGCAGCUCAACUAAUUCUUCCGACAAGGAUGACUGUAAGAGUGCGUCAGUUGACACAGACCGGCCUUUGGGGAACGAUGAUAACAGAAAUGAUCUGCCGCAGAGGAGCCAUGCUAAGGACCAUACCACAUCUUCGGAUGAUGACGACGAUGACGACGAAUGGGAGGUGCUAGAAGCAAAUUAA
rnacentral:rRNA from 1 species